rnacentral:rRNA from 1 species
UACGAAGGGGGCUAGCGUUGCUCGGAAUCACUGGGCGUAAAGGGUGCGUAGGCGGUUCUUUAAGUCAGGGGUGAAAUCCUGGAGCUCAACUCCAGAACUGCCUUUGAUACUGAAGAUCUUGAGUUCGGGAGAGGUGAGUGGAACUGCGAGUGUAGAGGUGAAAUUCGUAGAUAUUCGCAAGAACACCAGUGGCGAAGGCGGCUCACUGGCCCGAUACUGACGCUGAGGCACGAAAGCGUGGGGAGCAAACAGG